CAGGCCAGUCUCAAACUCCUGGGCUCAACUUGAGCUCAACCACCAACAAGGUGAUGUAGCUCUGAAAGCAAAGAUUAGGAAGGUGCUAAGUGGUUGGAUGACUGGCCUUGCUUUCUUCCAAAGAUGAUGAAAGAGGGCUGUGAAGCAGGCUGCAUAGGUUUGGUGGUGGUAAUUCUGACAGGUGAGGUCUGGAAAGCCUGUGGGGGGGACUGGAUGUCUGAACUGGUUCUUGAGGGAUGGGUAGAAUUUUGACUGGUGGAGAAGGGGAUAAGGGUAUUCUAGAAAGAGGGUACUGCCUGGGAGAGGCCAAGGACUGGAGGCAUGCUACAGGGUACAUAAAUAGGAUAAAUAGCAUUUGAUUUGGAAGUUGAUAACAAGGAAGCGUUUUUUUUUUUUUGUUUUUUGUUUUUUUUUUAUAUACGGAGUCUCACUCUGUUGCCCAGGCUGGAGUGCAGUGGCACAGUCUCGGCUCACUGCAACUUCUGCCUCCCAGGCUCAAGCGAUUCUCUUGCCUCAGCCUCCUGAGUAGCUGGGAUUACAGGCAUCCGCCACCACGCCCAGCUAAGUUUUUUUUGUAUUUUUAUUAGAGACAGGGUUUCACUAUGUUGGCCAGGCUAGUCUGGAACUCCUGACCUCAGGCAAUCCGCCCACCUCAGCCUCCCAAAAUGCUGGGAUUACAGGCGUGAACCACUGCACCCGGCCAAGGAAGCAUUUUAAUACAAGAUGAACACUAUAUUAGGUUGGGAUUAAAUGUAAAGGGCUUUAAGUGCUAGGUUGAGAGAUGUGCACUUUUAUUGGUGUUGGUGAGUUAUUCAUUUAUUGUUUUUGUUUUUCUGAGAGACGGAGUCUUGCUCUGUCACUG
rnacentral:lncRNA from 1 species